rnacentral:rRNA from 1 species
GGUGAGUAACACGUARGCAACCUGCCUGUACGACUGGGAUAACUCCGGGAAACCGGAGCUAAUACCGGAUACGUUUUUCAGACCGCAUGGUCUGAAAGAGAAAGACCUUUGGUCACGUACAGAUGGGCCUGCGGCGCAUUAGCUAGUUGGUGGGGUAACGGCCUACCAAGGCGACGAUGCGUAGCCGACCUGAGAGGGUGAUCGGCCACACUGGGACUGAGACACGGCCCAGACUCCUACGGGAGGCAGCAGUAGGGAAUCUUCCGCAAUGGACGAAAGUCUGACGGAGCAACGCCGCGUGAACGAUGAAGGUUUUCGGAUCGUAAAGUUCUGUUGUUAGGGAAGAACCGCCGGGAUGACCUCCCGGUCUGACGGUACCUAACGAGAAAGCCCCGGCUAACUACGUGCCAGCAGCCGCGGUAAUACGUAGGGGGCAAGCGUUGUCCGGAAUUAUUGGGCGUAAAGCGCGCGCAGGCGGCUUCUUAAGUCAGGUGUGAAAGCCCACGGCUCAACCGUGGAGGGCCACUUGAAACUGGGARGCUUGAGUGCAGGAGAGGAGAGCGGAAUUCCACGUGUAGCGGUGAAAUGCGUAGAGAUGUGGAGGAACACCCGUGGCGAAGGCGGCUCUCUGGCCUGUAACUGACGCUGAGGCGCGAAAGCGUGGGGAGCGAACAGGAUUAGAUACCCUGGUAGUCCACGCC